GGAUGCUGGCUGCUGCCAUUUCCUUUGAGCUGCGUUCCCACCUCAGAGCUUCCUGCUGCUGGGUGCUGCUCUCUUUAGCCACUCAGCCUGGGGAAGCUACCUCGCCCCUCCCACGGUGGAAAACCCCACCUGGGCCCAGCCAUUGGUGCAGUCGGCUACAGGUCGGGGGGAAGUGAUGGACGCCACAGAAUGUCCCAGGCAAGCUUUGAUGGCCUCUCAGCCCCUUCCCUCAGCCACGCAGCCACCAGCUUCGCCCGCACACGUGGCCCCUCCUCCUUACAUGCUCAGUCCCCUCCAACCCCACAGAACACUCCACUUGACCCGGAACCAUGGCCCUCUGUUUUCCUGCCUGCCUGGGGCAUGUGAGAUUUCCAGCGCUGGAAGUUUAGAAGGCAGAUCUAGCGGCUGCGUUUGCUUGGUCAGUUGCAAGGCAUUGCCCGUUUUCUCUCGGAGCAGAGGCGUUUGCCAUCACGUGCUCCACCAUGCCAUGGGCGAGGGCCAACAGGGCUCUCCCUGCGCUCUGUGUCCAGUGUGGACCCUGUGAUUUGCUCUUUCUGAGCCAGGCAGGAUAGAGCUGGCAGCCUCAGCUUCUGAGCUCUGGAGCUCAGCGUGGAGGAAGGGCGCUGCCAUCCUCCAGCAGUCGGCCUGUGAAACAGCUGUGGGAACUUCUCAGAUGUGGUGUCUCCGUCUCUCCUGGCUCCUCGGAACCGAAAGUCCUGCAGCCAAUCCUGAAGAGUGGCUGUGGCCGGGUCCCGGAAACCCUGUGUCCCUGCACCUCACCCUGCUAAGCCUGCACAGGCGGCGUCCUUGGCCACACACAGUCGAGAAUGUAACUGGGGCUGAGGAAAUGAACCCCAGUGUGCGCUGCAGCGGGAACAGUGGCCUUCGCCCAUUCGUGCACCCAGUGCCAUUCCUAGUCCUGAGACCCAUGAACCCCACCGACGAGGUGCAGCUCAUUCUCGGAGACAAAGGCCUUGGAGAGAACAUGGGAGCCUGGAGAGGUGGGCUGUGGUCCAGAGGCACCGUGAGUUGUCCGCGGGAGGUGGGGAGUUGGGGGGGGCCACCGUUAGGUGCCUGCAGGAGGUGGGGUGUGGCCGUGAGUUGCCCACAGGAGGUGGGGUGUUGGGGGGGGCGCCGUGAGUUGCCCGCGGGAAGUGGGGUGUGGCCGGGAGUUGCCCACGGGAGGUGGGGUGUGGCCAGGAGUCACCCUCAUCCCACAGCUGUGCUUUCCUACAGCUCUCGCCCAGCCCAGUGCAAAGUGACUCCAGGUACCACUCCAGGGUCCGGCCCCGAGCUCAGAGGGGGUGGGAGUGGCUUCUCGGCCAAGUCCGAUGGGGAAGCCUGUGGCUGCCGAGGGCACAGCUGCAGUGCCACCCAAACCUGGCCCUCACUGAGGCUUUCACCUGGGUGUGACUUGCCGUCUUGGCUGACCUAUGCCGAGGGAGGGACGCCGAUUUCUCGUUGCUCCCGAAUGAGUUUCUCUUACAAGGGGUGUGUCUUCUGGCUUUGGGAUGAUGUUCCUGCCAUUUUCCAAGGCCUCUGCCUGGUACCCACCUUGCCCAUAUGA
rnacentral:lncRNA from 1 species